AUUGAACGCUGGCGGCAGGCUUAACACAUGCAAGUCGAGCGGGGUGAUGGUGCUUGCACUAUCACUUAGCGGCGGACGGGUGAGUAAUGCUUAGGAAUCUGCCUAUUAGUGGGGGACAACAUCUCGAAAGGGAUGCUAAUACCGCAUACGUCCUACGGGAGAAAGCAGGGGAUCACUUGUGACCUUGCGCUAAUAGAUGAGCCUAAGUCGGAUUAGCUAGUUGGUGGGGUAAAGGCCUACCAAGGUGACGAUCUGUAGCGGGUCUGAGAGGAUGAUCCGCCACACUGGGACUGAGACACGGCCCAGACUCCUACGGGAGGCAGCAGUGGGGAAUAAUGGACAAUGGGGGGAACCCUGAUCCAGCCAUGCCGCGUGUGUGAAGAAGGCCUUAUGGUUGUAAAGCACUUUAAGCGAGGAGGAGGCUCUUUUGGUUAAUACCCAAGAUGAGUGGACGUUACUCGCAGAAUAAGCACCGGCUAACUCUGUGCCAGCCGCCGCAGUAA
rnacentral:rRNA from 1 species